AACGAACGCUGGCGGCAGGCUUAACACAUGCAAGUCGAACGAGCUGGGAACUUCGGUUCCCGAUGCUAGUGGCGCACGGGUGAGUAACACGUGGGAACAUACCCUUUAGUACGGAAUAACUCAGGGAAACUUGAGCUAAUACCGUAUGACUCCUUCGGGAGAAAGAUUUAUCGCUAAAGGAAUGGCCCGCGUCUGAUUAGGUAGUUGGUGAGGUAACGGCUCACCAAGCCGACGAUCAGUAGCUGGUCUGAGAGGAUGAUCAGCCACACUGGGACUGAGACACGGCCCAGACUCCUACGGGAGGCAGCAGUGGGGGAAUAUUGGACAAUGGGCGAAAGCCUGAUCCAGCCAUGCCGCGUGAGUGAAGAAGGCCUUCGGGUUGGUUAAAGG
rnacentral:rRNA from 1 species